AAUAGAUACCCUGGUAGUCCACGCCGUAAACGAUGAGUGUUAAGUGUUAGGGGGUUUCCGCCCCUUAGUGCUGCAGCUAACGCAUUAAGCACUCCGCCUGGGGAGUACGGUCGCAAGACUGAAACUCAAAGGAAUUGACGGGGGCCCGCACAAGCGGUGGAGCAUGUGGUUUAAUUCGAAGCAACGCGAAGAACCUUACCAGGUCUUGACAUCCCACUGACCGCUAUGGAGACAUAGUUUUCCCUUCGGGGACAGUGGUGACAGGUGGUGCAUGGUUGUCGUCAGCUCGUGUCGUGAGAUGUUGGGUUAAGUCCCGCAACGAGCGCAACCCUUGAUCUUAGUUGCCAUCAUUUAGUUGGGCACUCUAAGGUGACUGCCGGUGACAAACCGGAGGAAGGUGGGGAUGACGUCAAAUCAUCAUGCCCCUUAUGACCUGGGCUACACACGUGCUACAAUGGACGGUACAAACGGUUGCCAACCCGCGAGGGGGAGCUAAUCCGAUAAAACCGUUCUCAGUUCGGAUUGUAGGCUGCAACUCGCCUAC
rnacentral:rRNA from 1 species